rnacentral:rRNA from 1 species
UACGAAGGGGGGCUAGCGUUGUUCGGAAUUACUGGGCGUAAAGGGCGCGUAGGCGGUACUUCAAGUCAGGCGUGAAAGCCCCAGGCUCAACCUGGGAACCGCGCUUGAGACUGGAGAACUAGAGUUCGGGAGAGGAUGGUGGAAUUCCCAGUGUAGAGGUGAAAUUCGUAGAUAUUGGGAAGAACACCGAUGGCGAAGGCAGCCAUCUGGACCGACACUGACGCUGAGGCGCGAAAGCUAGGGGAGCAAACAGG